UACGUAGGGGGCAAGCGUUGUCCGGAAUUAUUGGGCGUAAAGAGCGCGUAGGCGGUCCGAUAAGUCGGCUGUGAAAGUCAGGGGCUCAACCCUUGAAAGCCGGCCGAUACUGUCGGACUAGAGUCCGGAAGAGGCAAGUGGAAUUCCCGGUGUAGCGGUGAAAUGCGCAGAUAUCAGGAGGAACACCGGUGGCGAAGGCGGAUCUCUGGGGCCAUUACUGACGCUGAGGAGCGAAAGCGUGGGGAGCGAACAGG
rnacentral:rRNA from 1 species